GAUGAACGCUGGCGGCGUGCCUAAUACAUGCAAGUCGAGCGAACAGACGAGGAGCUUGCUCCUCUGACGUUAGCGGCGGACGGGUGAGUAACACGUGGAUAACCUACCUAUAAGACUGGGAUAACUUCGGGAAACCGGAGCUAAUACCGGAUAAUAUAUUGAACCGCAUGGUUCAAUAGUGAAAGACGGUUUUGCUGUCACUUAUAGAUGGAUCCGCGCCGCAUUAGCUAGUUGGUAAGGUAACGGCUUACCAAGGCAACGAUGCGUAGCCGACCUGAGAGGGUGAUCGGCCACACUGGAACUGAGACAUGGUCCAGACUCCUACGGGAGGCAGCAGUAGGGAAUCUUCCGCAAUGGGCGAAAGCCUGACGGAGCAACGCCGCGUGAAUGAUGAAGGUCUUCGGAUCGUAAAACUCUGUUAUUAGGGAAGAACAAAUGUGUAAGUAACUAUGCACGUCUUGACGGUACCUAAUCAGAAAGCCACGGCUAACUACGUG
rnacentral:rRNA from 1 species